rnacentral:rRNA from 1 species
UACGGAGGUGGCGACCGUUAAUCGGAAUCACUGGGCGUAAAGCGCGCGUAGGCGGUCUGUUAAGUGGGAUGUGAAAUCCCCGGGCUUAACCUGGGAAUUGCAUUUCAAACUGGCCGACUAGAGUACGGUAGAGGGAGGUAGAAUUUCCUGUGUAGCGGUGAAAUGCGUAGAUAUAGGAAGGAAUACCAGUGGCGAAGGCGGCCUCCUGGAUCGAUACUGACGCUGAGGCGCGAAAGCGUGGGGAGCAAACAGG